UACGUAGGGGGCAAGCGUUGUCCGGAUUUAUUGGGCGUAAAGAGCGUGUAGGCGGUCAGGUAGGUCGGUUGUGAAAACUGGAGGCUCAACCUUCAGAGGUCGACCGAAACCCCCUGGCUAGAGUCCGGGAGAGGAGAGUGGAAUUCCGUGGUGUAGCGGUGAAAUGCGCAGAUAUCAGGAAGAACACCCGUGGCGAAAGCGGCUCUCUGGAACGGUACUGACGCUGAGACGCGAAAGCGUGGGGGGAGCGAACAGG
rnacentral:rRNA from 1 species